ACUAGAAUGAACGGUUAAAUGAGGGCUUCACUGUCUCUUACAUUCGACCAAUAAACCUGAUCUUUCAGUCCAAAAGCUGAAAUAAACCCAUAAGACGAGAAGACCCUGUGGAGCUUCCAAACCAAGCCCACCACCCUAUGUCCCCUUGGUUUUUAGUUGGGGCGACUUUGGAGCACAAACAACCCUCCAACUACGGACCUUCCCCUCUAGAUGUACAUAUCAACAAAAAUUUUCCCCGACCCAGUAGCUAAACUGUCUAUCUGACCAAUGGACCAAGUUACCCCAGGGAUAACAGCGCCAUCCUCUUCUAGAGUCCCUAUCGACAAGAGGGUUUACGACCUCGAUGUUGGAUCAGGACACCCCUAUAGUGCAGCCGCUAUAAAAG
rnacentral:rRNA from 1 species